UACGAAGGGAGCUAGCGUUGUUCGGAGUUACUGGGCGUAAAGGGCGCGUAGGUGGCUUGGUAAGUUAGGCGUGAAAGCCCAGGGCUCAACCCUGGAAUAGCGCUUAAGACUGCCUUGCUUGAAUUCGGUAGAGGUGAGUGGAAUUCCCAGUGUAGAGGUGAAAUUCGUAGAGAUUGGGAAGAACACCCGUGGCGAAGGCGGCUCACUGGACCGACAUUGACACUGAGGCGCGAAAGCGUGGGGAGCAAACAGG
rnacentral:rRNA from 1 species